rnacentral:rRNA from 1 species
AUAGAACGCUGGCGGCGUGCUUGAUACAUGCAAGUCGAACGGAGAGUGUAGCAAUAUACUUUAGUGGCGAACGGGUGAGUAACGCGUUGGUGACCUGCCCCGAAGCGAGGGAUAACAGUUCGAAAGAACUGCUAAUACCUCAUGUGAUCACCGGUUUUAGAAUCUGGUGAUUAAAGGUGAAAAUCACUUCGGGAGGGGCCUGCGUCCCAUCAGCUAGUUGGUAAGGUAAUGGCUUACCAAGGCGAUGACGGGUAGGGGACCUGAGAGGGGUGGCCCCCCACAAUGGAACUGAAACACGGUCCAUACACCUACGGGUGGCAGCAGUAGGGAAUAUUGCAAAUGGGCGAAAGCCUGAUGUAGCAACGCCGCGUGUGCGAUGAAGGUCUUCGGAUUGUAAAGCACUUUUGGAGGGAUGAGGAAGGACAGUACCUCCAGAAUAAGCCUCGGCUAACUACGUG